AAAACGGCAGCACCCACUUACUGCACAUGAGCCAAACUGAGGAAGGGAUGGAGGAGGCGUGAGUCGAACAACAACCGACGUGUGCAGCGGAAACUCGGCGAUGCUCAACUGGGACCGGGAUCACGAAAAAACACCUUUACCUCGAGGCGAAAAAGUGUCCCCUGCAGGACCUCCAGAAGAAACACCAGUCCACGCAACGGUACCUUGCACAAGAAUGUGCCAACCUGCACUAUUAAUCCAGCUAGGUUUUCAUGGACAUUUUCAUUAAUUUUAUUGCCCUUGAAGUUAUU